AGUUAAUUAGCUUAAAUAAAGCGUAUGUUUUGAAAGCAUAAUUCAGAGGUUUAAACCUUCUAUUAACUU
rnacentral:tRNA from 1 species